CUUCUAUUAAACAAAGGAUUCUUUGAUACAGUGCAGAAAAAUAUGUACUUUGAUGAGCACGAAAUUUGAAGAGAAGGAGCAUCUAAAACUUAAGAGGAAAAGGAAGAAUUAGAAAAAAUAAUUGAAUUAUCUGAAAAACACAAAUAAUAUCAGCUUUCCUAAGUCACUGUAAAAUAUAGAAAUAAAUGACUAAUGACAUACUACUUAUAAAUAGCCACUAAAAUUCUGACAUUUUUAGAGCUAACGCAUUUAUUAUAUAUUCCAUCACGAAUAAGUUGGGAGGCCAUAGUAAUGAGCCAGGACCCCUGACCUCUGCAGGGAGCCCUGACCCAAACCCAGAAACUGUCUCAGACACUCUCAAGGCAUCAUGGGUCAGAAUCAUUCCUUCCUAUAGGGAAAGUGUGGAGCCAGUAGUGAAUGGAGGGAUUGGGAAGCUGGAUAUGGGAGAAGAACCCGGGGCUCAGGGGCCCUUCACAGAGCAGGAAAGUGCAGGGAGGUGCUCCCCCUGGUGGCUGUUGGGUGAUGCUGCUUGACCCAGGUCAGAGCUUUCCCUGGGCUGUGCUGUUUACCUCUGAAGGACCAUGCUGAUGCACACUGCCCACCAUGGGCUAGAGGAUCAAUGAGUCCCGUUUCAGUGGGUCCAGUAACUUCAUUUUCCUCUCCCGCAGUGUGUCAAGUCUCCACCUCUAGAAGCUCACAAGCUCGCUCUGCGCUUGGGGCGUCCGGCAUGUGGCUCAGUGCGUCUUCAUAGCUGCUGUCCCCCAAUUCUGUGUUCACCAUCGCCCAGAGAUUUCAGUCAUCUAGUCUCAUCCCAGAUGCCCCCUGGGGUCAAGCUUGCAUAUCCACCCAGCGAUAAAUACCAAGCCCCAGCUCGUGGUCGUCCACUCCUCUGCAGCUUCUCAAGGUUGCCCCAGGACUCUGAAGCACCAGCAUUCUUUCCAUCAGCAUCACUUUGGAACGUGGUUAGUGACGUAACUCAUCGGUGAACAACAUGGGCUGUAAACUCUGACUUCAUCUUCGCAAACCGGGUGACCUCAAACAAACGAUAUCCUUCCUCUGGAGCUGUUUUCCAAUCUAUAAAAUAAGGAUAAUUUAAGUACGUGGCCAGCAUGAUUGCUGUGAGUAUUAAAUGCGAUGAUGCCUGCAAAAUACCGGUCUGUAGUGACUGUGCAGUAACUGUUAGCCAUCAGUACUAUUAUUCAUCUGCUGGAAAAUUCUAUGAGG
rnacentral:lncRNA from 1 species